GUAUUAGGUUUAAAGGCACUAUAAUACCCAUAAUUGACAUUCUAUUACUUGUUAUUGGAGUAUAUGAUUGAAACAUAGAACCUGGGAACGAGAGAACAGCCAGGCAGUUCUCAAAACCGAGUUUCCUCGAAAAAGUUCUUUCAGGCCCUACAGUAUGUGCACAGGUGGGGUUUGAAACAAUGGAACGAGCGUGCACAUGCUCCCGAAAGAGCCAGCAGCAACCCAACCAAGUUUUUUAAAUUCAAUAAUGAUCCUUCCGCAGGUUCACCUACGGAAA
rnacentral:misc_RNA from 1 species